CACGUAGUUGGCCGGUGCUUCUUCUGUACCUACCGUCACUCUCGCUUCGUCGGUACUGAAAGAGGUUUACAACCCGAAGGCAGUCAUCCCUCACGCGGCGUUGCUGGAUCAGGCUUUCGCCCAUUGUCCAAUAUUCCCCACUGCUGCCUCCCGUAGGAGUCUGGGCCGUGUCUCAGUCCCAGUGUGGCCGGUCACCCUCUCAGGCCGGCUACCCGUCGAAGCCUUGGUGAGCCAUUACCUCACCAACAAGCUGAUAGGCCGCGAGCACAUCCUCCACCGCCAGAACUUUCCACCACCCCCCAUGCGAGGAAUGGUCAUAUCCGGUAUUAGCCACCGUUUCCGGUGGUUAUCCCAAAGUGAAGGGCAGAUUACUCACGUGUUACUCACCCGUUCGCCGCUCGUGUACCCCCGAAAGGGCCUUACCGCUCGACUUGCAUGUGUUAAGCACGCCGCCAGCGUUCGUCCUGAGCCAGGAUCAAACUCU
rnacentral:rRNA from 1 species